rnacentral:rRNA from 1 species
CCUACGGGAGGCAGCAGUGGGGAAUAUUGCACAAUGGGGGAAACCCUGAUGCAGCGACGCCGCGUGAGUGAAGAAGUAAUUCGUUACGUAAAGCUCUAUCAGCAGGGAAGAAAAUGACGGUACCUGAGUAAGAAGCCCCGGCUAACUCCGUGCCAGCAGCCGCGGUAAUACGGAGGGGGCCAGAGUUAUCCGGAUUUACUGGGUGUAAAGGGAGCGUAGACGGGGUGCCAAGUCAGGAGGGAAAUGCGGCGGCUUAACGGGGGAAUUGCUUUGGAAACGGGCGAACUAGAGUGCAGGUGGGGUAGGCGGAAUUCGUGGUGUAGCGGUGAAAUGCUUAGAUAUUACGAGGAACUCCGAUGGCGAAGGCAGCUUACUAGACCGUAACUGACAUUGAGGCUCGAAAGCGUGGGGAGCAAACAGGAUUAGAUACCCGUGUAGUC